UAUCAUUAACUGAAUCCAUAGGUUAAUGAGGCGAACCGGGGGAACUGAAACAUCUAAGUACCCCGAGGAAAAGAAAUCAACCGAGAUUCCCCCAGUAGCGGCGAGCGAACGGGGAGGAGCCCAGAGCCUGAAUCAGCAUGUGUGUUAGUGGAAGCGUCUGGAAAGGCGCGCGAUACAGGGUGACAGCCCCGUACACAAAAGCGCAUGUGCUGUGAGCUCGAUGAGUAGGGCGGGACACGUGGUAUCCUGUCUGAAUAUGGGGGGACCAUCCUCCAAGGCUAAAUACUCCUGACUGACCGAUAGUGAACCAGUACCGUGAGGGAAAGGCGAAAAGAACCCCGGCGAGGGGAGUGAAAAAGAACCUGAAACCGUGUACGUACAAGCAGUGGGAGCCCCACCACCAAAGCAUUUGCUGUACCGCGUUGACGGAGCGAAGCGACGUCAAACCGAUAAAACAGCAGUGUAAAGUGAGCCGCAGGGCGCUUUGCGCGACAGCGCAAAGGCAGGCGGUUUCGCGUAGCGAAAGCGAAUGCUUUGGGGUGGGGUGACUGCGUACCUUUUGUAUAAUGGGUCAGCGACUUAUAUUCUGUAGCAAGGUUAACCGAAUAGGGGAGCCGGAGGGAAACCGAGUCUUAAUUGGGCGUUAAGUUGCAGGGUAUAGACCCGAAACCCGGUGAUCUAGCCAUGGGCAGGUUGAAGGUUGGGUAACACUAACUGGAGGACCGAACCGACUAAUGUUGAAAAAUUAGCGGAUGACCUGUGGCUGGGGGUGAAAGGCCAAUCAAACCGGGAGAUAGCUGGUUCUCCCCGAAAGCUAUUUAGGUAGCGCCUCGUGAAUUCAUCUCCGGGGGUAGAGCACUGUUUCGGCUAGGGGGCCAUCCCGGCUUACCAACCCGAUGCAAACUGCGAAUACCGGAGAAUGUUAUCACGGGAGACACACGGCGGGUGCUAACGUCCGUCGUGAAGAGGGAAACAACCCAGACCGCCAGCUAAGGUCCCAAAGUCAUGGUUAAGUGGGAAACGAUGUGGGAAGGCCCAGACAGCCAGGAUGUUGGCUUAGAAGCAGCCAUCAUUUAAAGAAAGCGUAAUAGCUCACUGGUCGAGUCGGCCUGCGCGGAAGAUGUAACGGGGCUAAACCAUGCACCGAAGCUGCGGCAGCGACACUGUGUGUUGUUGGGUAGGGGAGCGUUCUGUAAGCCUGUGAAGGUGUGUCGUGAGGCAUGCUGGAGGUAUCAGAAGUGCGAAUGCUGACAUAAGUAACGAUAAAGCGGGUGAAAAGCCCGCUCGCCGGAAGACCAAGGGUUCCUGUCCAACGUUAAUCGGGGCAGGGUGAGUCGACCCCUAAGGCGAGGCCGAAAGGCGUAGUCGAUGGGAAACGGGUUAAUAUUCCCGUACUUGGUGUUACUGCGAAGGGGGGACGGAGAAGGCUAUGUUGGCCGGGCGACGGUUGUCCCGGUUUAAGCGUGUAGGUGUGUGUUCCAGGUAAAUCCGGUUCACUUUAACACUGAGGCGUGACGACGAGGCACUACGGUGCUGAAGCAACAAAUGCCCUGCUUCCAGGAAAAGCCUCUAAGCAUCAGGUAACAUCAAAUCGUACCCCAAACCGACACAGGUGGUCAGGUAGAGAAUACCAAGGCGCUUGAGAGAACUCGGGUGAAGGAACUAGGCAAAAUGGUGCCGUAACUUCGGGAGAAGGCACGCUGACACGUAGGUGAAGUGAUUUACUCAUGGAGCUGAAGUCAGUCGAAGAUACCAGCUGGCUGCAACUGUUUAUUAAAAACACAGCACUGUGCAAACACGAAAGUGGACGUAUACGGUGUGACGCCUGCCCGGUGCCGGAAGGUUAAUUGAUGGGGUCAGCGCAAGCGAAGCUCCUGAUCGAAGCCCCGGUAAACGGCGGCCGUAACUAUAACGGUCCUAAGGUAGCGAAAUUCCUUGUCGGGUAAGUUCCGACCUGCACGAAUGGCGUAAUGAUGGCCAGGCUGUCUCCACCCGAGACUCAGUGAAAUUGAACUCGCUGUGAAGAUGCAGUGUACCCGCGGCAAGACGGAAAGACCCCGUGAACCUUUACUAUAGCUUGACACUGAACAUUGAGCCUUGAUGUGUAGGAUAGGUGGGAGGCUUUGAAGUGUGGACGCCAGUCUGCAUGGAGCCGACCUUGAAAUACCACCCUUUAAUGUUUGAUGUUCUAACGUGGACCCGUUACCCGGGUUGCGGACAGUGUCUGGUGGGUAGUUUGACUGGGGCGGUCUCCUCCUAAAGAGUAACGGAGGAGCACGAAGGUUGGCUAAUCCUGGUCGGACAUCAGGAGGUUAGUGCAAUGGCAUAAGCCAGCUUGACUGCGAGCGUGACGGCGCGAGCAGGUGCGAAAGCAGGUCAUAGUGAUCCGGUGGUUCUGAAUGGAAGGGCCAUCGCUCAACGGAUAAAAGGUACUCCGGGGAUAACAGGCUGAUACCGCCCAAGAGUUCAUAUCGACGGCGGUGUUUGGCACCUCGAUGUCGGCUCAUCACAUCCUGGGGCUGAAGUAGGUCCCAAGGGUAUGGCUGUUCGCCAUUUAAAGUGGUACGCGAGCUGGGUUUAGAACGUCGUGAGACAGUUCGGUCCCUAUCUGCCGUGGGCGCUGGAGAACUGAGGGGGGCUGCUCCUAGUACGAGAGGACCGGAGUGGACGCAUCACUGGUGUUCGGGUUGUCAUGCCAAUGGCACUGCCCGGUAGCUAAAUGCGGAAGAGAUAAGUGCUGAAAGCAUCUAAGCACGAAACUUGCCCCGAG
rnacentral:rRNA from 1 species